rnacentral:rRNA from 1 species
UAAUACAGAGGGUGCAAACGUUGCUCGGAAUCAUUGGGCGUAAAGCGCGUGUAGGCGGCACGACAAGUCAGCUGUGAAAGCCCUCGGCUCAACCGAGGAAGUGCAGCUGAAACUGUCGCGCUAGAGUGCUGAAGAGGGUGGCGGAAUGCGCAGUGUAGAGGUGAAAUUCGUAGAUAUUGCGUAGAACACCAGUGGCGAAGGCGGCCACCUGGGAAGCUACUGACGCUAAGACGCGAAAGCAUGGGGAGCAAACAGGAUUAGAUACCCUGGUAGUCCAUGCCGUAAACGAUGAGUACUAGGUGUUGUGGGUAUUGACCCCUACAGUGCCGACGCUAACGCAUUAAGUACUCCGCCUGGGAAGUACGGCCGCAAGGCUA